ACAUCCAGUCCGUCCCCGCUGUCCACGGCACACACUGCCGCUACCUGCCCGGCGGAAUGGACGUCUACUGCGGUGCUCCCAGCUUCAUCCUCAGCCCCACGGAGCCGCGAGAGAAGCCAGGCCCGACAUGACAGCACCGGGACGGGAGAAGAAAGCGGGCCAGCGGCCGCAACUGACCGUCCGGCUGGAGGCGGUGCGGGCUGCGGGGCGCUACGCCGUGCUCGUCGCCCUGUGCGCCCUCUGCUACAGCAACUCUCUCCGCGGGGAGUUGGUGCACGACGACGUGUGGGCGAUCAUCAACAACCCGGACGUCCGACCGGGUUCCAGCCUCGGAAACAUCUUCAGCAACGACUUCUGGGGGAAGAGGAUGGCGGACAACACGAGCCACAAGUCCUACAGACCGCUCUGCAUCCUCACCUUCAAGUUGAACAUCCUGCUGGGCGGUAUGACUCCUCUCUACUUCCACAUGGUCAACGUGUGUUUGCACUGUGCCGUAACCUGCCUGCUUAUGCAAACGUGUGAACGAUGCGUGUUUGAAGACUCACGUCUGGCCUUCAUCACAGCUCUGUUGUUCGCCGUGCACCCCGUCCACACUGAGGCUGUGUCUGGUAUCGUGGGCAGGGCUGACGUCUUGGCCUGUCUGCUGUUCUUGCUGACAUUCCUCUCCUAUAUUAGGAGUGUGGGUGAAUGUGACUCUGAGGACUCUCUGCCCUCCACUGUAUCGACCUGGUCUCUGCUCAUCAGUUUGCUGCUCGGCACCUGUGCCAUGUUGGUCAAGGAGACGGGCAUCACCGUGUUUGGAGUGUGCUUGCUCUAUGACGCCCUGGUGCUCUGCCGCAAGCCUAUCAUCUAUCACCUGUCUGGCUCUGGACUCAGGGACUUCCUCCACAUCUGCAGCCCCUUCAUCAAACGAGCCUGCCUCAUCUCUGGCUAUGUAGUGAUCAUCAUGUCGGUCAGGUUAUGGCUCAUGGGAGGGUCCAUGCCUCUUUUCUCUGAGCAGGACAACCCUGCCUCCUUCUCACCACACCUCCUCACCAGGAUCUUAACCUACUUGUACCUGCUGUCCUUUAAUGCCUGGCUGCUGCUGGCCCCUGUUGUGCUGUGUUAUGACUGGCAGGUUGGCAGCAUUCCCCUGGUUGAAGCACUGGGUGACGUGCGCAACGUGUCCACUGUUCUCCUGGCCAUGGUGAUGGUCGCUCUCUGCCUGCACUGCAUCUUCUCACUGCAAAGGCAAGACAGCAGAGAGGUGUUGGUGGGAAUGUUGUUUCUGGUGUUUCCCUUCAUUCCUGCCAGUAACCUCUUCUUCAGGGUGGGAUUUGUUGUGGCCGAGAGGGUUCUCUACAUGCCGAGUAUGGGCUACUGUAUCCUGGUGGCUCAUGGUCUGGGCCGGCUGUGUUCGGUGCUGGGCCGUUUUGGAGCCACGGUCCUCAGUGUCUCCAUGCUGCUGCUGCUGCUCCUCUUCUCCUGGAAAACUGUCCAACAGAACAACGUGUGGCUCUCCAGGGAGGCCCUCUUCCGCUCUGGUAUCCAGACUCUGCCUCACAAUGCCAAAGUCCACUACAACUACGCCAACUUCCUGAAAGACAGCAGUCGGCACCAGGAGGCCAUUCACCACUACAACAUUGCCCUCAGGUUAUACCCCCGUCACGCCAGUGCCAUGAACAAUCUGGGCACGCUGACGAGUAGCCCAGAGGAGGCUGAGCGCUACUACAGGAAAGCAUUGGACACCAACCCUCAGCACAACCGAGCUCUGUUUAACCUGGGAAACUUGCUCAAGUCCCAGGGGCAGGAGAAGAAGGCUGAGGCUCUGCUGAGGGAUUCCAUACGUUUUGGUCCACAUUUUGCUGAUGCUUACUCCAGUUUGGCGUCACUUUACGCUGAACAGAAACGCUAUGCUGAAGCCAAUGAAGUGUAUGUAAAAGGCAUAGAGCACUGCCCGGACAGCUCUGACCUGCAUAACAACUACGGAGUGUUUCUGGUGGAUACAGGAGAAGGGGAGCUGGCAGCUGCCCACUACCAGCAAGCAGUACGACUCAAACCAGCCCAUUACGUUGCCAUGGUGAACCUGGGCCGUCUGCUGCGAUCAUCCAAUGAGAACAGAGAAGCUGAGUCUUGGUACAAAAGGGCUCUGGAGGUGACGAGGAAGGUAGACAUACUGACUCCGCUGGGAGCGCUGUACUACAAUACAGGUCGCUAUGAGGAGGCUUUGCAGGUGUACAGAGAGGCGGCCACACUGCAGCCAGACAGCACCGACAUCUGGCUGGCAUUGGCUCAGGUUUUAGCCAUGGCUGGUCGCACCAAAGAGGCAGAGAAGAUGACACUGGACAUCAUAUCCAGAGAGGGCAGCUGCAUCGAAUGUUACCGCCUCCUGUCUGCCAUCUACAGCAAGCACGGCAACUACACAGAGGCUCUGGAGGCUCUGGACCGGGCCCUGCAGCAGAAUCCCCGGGAUCUGACUGUGAGAGCAGAGCUGUACUUCUCCAAAGGAAACCAGCUCAGAGAGAUGAACCAGCUAGACCGAGCCUUCGAGCACCAAUUACAGUCAAAUUGUCUCAAGACGCUUUACAGAACCCAUAUUCCUGAACCCCCAGAGCAAGCCAAAGGUGACACUGGAAAGGAAAACACCCUUUAACAGGGAAAAAAGACUUGAGCAGAACCUGGCUCUUUAUGUGGGGGAACCAUCUGCUGCUGGCCGGGCGAGUUGAGAGGGACAGAAGAGGAAGAGAGGUUUUCAUAUUUCUCAUAGUCUAGGAAUCCUUCAUGUGUUUUUUGGCAAACUCUAUGCAGGCUUUCAUGUGUCUUGCACUGCGGAGAGGCUUCCGUCGGGCCACUCUGCCAUAAAGCCCCGACUGGUGGAGGGCUGCAGUGAUAGUUGACUUUGUGGAACUUUCUCCUAUCACCCGACUACAUCUCUGGAGCUCAGCCACAGUGAUCUUUGGGUUCUUCUUUACCUCUCUCACCAAGGCUCUUCUCCCACCAUUGCUCAGUUUGGCUGGACGGCCAGGUCUAUAGGAAGAGUUGUGGUCGUCCCAAACUUCUUCCAUUUGAGGAUUAUGGAGGCCACUGUGCUCUUAGGAACCUUGAGUGCUGCAGAAAUUCUUUUGUAACCUUGGCCAGAUCUGUGUAUGCAUUGCCGUUGUGUUCUUCCUUUAGCCCAGCUACACUGUUGUUUAACCAGCCUUUUCUUAAAGCCCAGAAGGUCCACCUGUCUUUUUUAAAGUCCUGGGGGGAGUAAGGUUUUAUGAGCUUUAUAGGCUAACAGAAACUUCACAGAUAAUGCACAUUAACAUAUGUUUACUAAUCAGAGGGAAUACUACCAAGGGCAUGUGCUCGGAGGCAUCUUGUUAGACUGCAAAUAUGCACAGCUUGCUUUACAAAUUGUUUUCAAGUUCAUUUGAACACGCACGCACGCACGCACGCACGCACGCACGCACGCACGCACGCACGCACGCACGCACGCACGCACGCACGCACGCACGCACGCACGCACGCACACAGACAUUAAUGGCUUUACGCCUUAAACUCAAGGCUGCAAGACUACACUUUUAUUUCAUCAUGAAAAACAGCCUCAAACCCAGUCAGUAACAGCUUUACAAAUGUAAAUGGUCUAAGUGGUCCGCACUUAUAGAGCACCUUUCUGCUAUAGUGGUACUCAAAGCACUUUACAAUGUUUCUCAUUCACACACAUCAGUGGUGGCAGCUGCCAUACAUGGUGCCUGGCAUCCAGGGGUAUUUGGGGUUCAGUGUCUUGUCCAAUGACAUUUUGAGUUAUCUGGAGUUUAGCUUAGUACUCGCGAGUACCCGACACGGUGUAAGACUGCUGUGAAGGUGGAGACAUGCGGCGGUGGUGUAUUUGCAACGAUUAAAAAAAAUUUGAAGGAGCGGCGCUGGAAUUUUAGUAGCAGCGGGCUGUCUCUCUCAUGGUUCUUGUAAUCCCUGGGAUUAAAAGGAAAGAACACAAGACCUUUGAGACACUGCUCAUAUGAGUCAUUUAAGUCAGAGAUUCUGCUCUGACAACUAAGAUGAACUUUUACCUGUUAAGAUUGUGCACGGCACAACAGAAAUGGUUGUAUUUAAAUGGUAAAUGAUUGUAUUUAUAUAGUGCUUUUAUCCAAAGCGCUUUACAUGAUAUGUCACAUUUACCCAUUCACACACUGAUGGCAGAAGCUGCCAUGCAAGGCGCUAACCACGACCCACCAGGAGCAAUUAGGGGUUCAGUGUCUUGCUCAGGGACACCUCCACAUGAGCUCGACGGGCUGAGGAUCGACCCGGCAACCUUCCAGUUACAAGACGGCCACUCUACCCGCUGAGCCAUGUUCCAUUCAUAAAUAGUGUUAUUAUAUGUUUCCUGAUUUUUAUUUUUUUUUCUGUGAAGAACCUAAACAGGGUUAUUUGGUUAUUAUUUAUUUCAUAAAUAGUGUUAUUUAUGUCAUUAAUAGUGUUAUUUAUUUCCUGACUUUUUUUUCUGUGAAGAUCCCGGAAAGGGUUAUUAAUAUUUGGUUAUGUGUGGCUUUCUGGAAAACAAUGUUGAUGUUUAGGCACCCCUGCGAUCGUCACACUUUUUCUGUUACAAAGUGACCCCGGCCCCCCACCAGAGAAGGGAAAAGUUAUGUGGUUCUCACAGGAAAAAAGUCUGGGGACCCCUGCCCUGUGUGUUUGUUUUUCUUUGAUUUUUAUGUAAAGGUGAAAUCCAGCAAAAUGGUGAUAAUAAUGCUGCAAUGUUCCAAACAGCCAUUAACACCAAGCACCUCAGUGUGUCUCAUUGGACUUUAUGGUCUGUCAUUGCUUUCAGUGAUUUCUGGAAAUGAUUCCGAGAUAAUAGGGAUUUAUUCACUGAUAGUUGAAGCUCGUACCUAGUGCUUUUUAAUAUAGAGAAAGUGUUUAAGGGUUAGUUGAGGUUUGUGAAGGCCUGAAAACCAGUCUUGGCAUUGACCUGUAGCUUUCAGACCCAGACCCGCCUGGCCCUGCUGAAUUUGAAACUGAAGCUGUUUGUAUUGUGAAGUGUUUCUCACAAAUAGAAAACUAGAAAAGGACCCAGAGAGUGCAGUACUCCGCGGUGGCUGUUCAGUUGACGUAUCAUUUCCAGCAGAUGAAAUCUUUAAUAAAAAAUGACCUUGUGCUGAGCACAGGCAUGUGUUAUGCUUGUUCAUGUUAUGUAUGGAUACCAAAGCAGGUGUAAAUUACUCUUAUAAAGGUCUGGUGAUCAGUUCAUCACCUUUGGCAAGCCUUUGUUUUGCUAGUGUUAAAAUAACCGUUCCCUCCAUGCUUUUAUUUUAAAGGUGUAUUUUUAAUGUUACAAGCGUUUAUUUUGUCCUCAUUCCAGCGGCACAGGAAGUGUUUAUCGAAGAAGCAGUUUCUUAAUAUGAUGAAGACGCUGCCUAAAGGAUAGUAAGGCGUGUCUAAACUAAGAAGCAUCUAGCCGCUAUGGGAACAAGCUCUAAGAGUGUUUCCUGAAGGAGUGAAGGACAGAAAGGUGAAUUUGUGUUCAAAAUAAGGCUGACGUCUGAACGUAAAUAAAGGUUUUGUGAAACAUCAGGAGCUUCACCAUUGUCUGUCUGGGGUUUGCUACAUACAUGACCUUAAUAUGUAGGAAAUAUGCAGGAAUUGAAGGGACUUAGAAACACCUCACAGUUUAAUUAACUCAACUUUAUUAUUUGUUCCUUGAAGGGUGAUUUGUUAUGCAGCAGUUUACACAAGCAUUCCAGUUAGCUGCCAAUAAAAAAAAACAAACGAAAGGAAAUGUUUUUUUGUUUUUAAAAAACUAAAACACACAUAAAUCAGUAAAAACACAACAGAAACAGUAAAAACACAAGAAAAAUAAUAAAAUCAGUGAAGACAAUAAAUAUUAGGCUGUAUUGGCUGAACGAGAUUGUGUUGGUUCGUUCCACUCAAGUGGAUCUACAUGAACUCUGCUUUAUAAGAUAUAUCUAUUGCUAAUUAGUACCCAAAAAAAGUUUCUACUCACCGUUUCAGUCAUUUUUUAAUAAUUAGCGUUUUUGUGUCGGUCUUUUUUUUACUGUGGCGUAGUGAUAUUUACAUGGGCGGACUAGGAUUUGCAGUGCGUGCAGUGGUUUUUGGUCACGUGGACCAAUAGGAGCUGAGUCCUGUUGCCGUGGUUUCAGAUCAACACACAGCAUGACGUCGACUGUAUCUAGCACAGAUACGAGCGAAGAUGACGAAAAGAAAGAUGAGGAAACCGCCUUCAAAAGUUACUAAAAAAGGAUCGAAACGAUACUCUUUGCAUCUCACAGAUGUCCAGGGCGAAGACGUGCAGGACUUUACACGGAAAAGGUGGGAAACUUACAGAACCUGCGUUAGACAGUGGCUUUCUCUAUAUAUUUUAUUAAAGGCCGUUUGCAGAAGACUGCUCAGCUGAAGGAGGACACCAGCAUGCUUUUGCACAUUAAAGAGAAAGACUGUGUGGCCCUGGAGGUGCGGUACCACAGGACCUGUUGCACACAGUACACAAAGUUUUUGUCAAGGCCUAUGGAAACAAGUACUGCAACCCCAGAUGAAGCGUGAGUUAUUACAAUGCAUUAACAUUUUAUUACACAUUGUACAUUUCAAAAUGAGGCAUUGACAAACAACAUAGUCUUUAGUUUGUUUAACUGUAGUUCCAAAAACCUAUUUGAUAAUUUUAUUCAGGAAAAUUUGGCGAAAUAGACAAGCUUAGAUCAUCUUGAUUGGAUUAUGUAAAUAUGACAUGGCUGCAACAGUUUACACAUGGUUUGUGUGUGUGUGCGUGUGUUUUUCAGAAGUGAAACACCCUUCACUGACAGCUACAAUUUCUUCUGUGAGACUGUCAUCCAUCAAAGGAUUAUAGUUGACCACGAAGUGCUGCGAAUGGACAAGCUACGAAAGACAUUCGUGGACAUAGUGAAGAAUCAAGAGGGUCUUGAUGCUUCAGAAUACAGGCAGGAUCUACUGAAGAGGCGGCUGACACGUGACUUCCCGCAGCUCACUUACCACUGCCCUGCCAAGAGAAAUAUCAGUGAACUUGUUUUUGUUGAGAGACUGUCAGCUGAUAGACUAUUACAAAAGAUACCUCCACAGUCAGGUACAUCUACUGAGUCCACUGAGGUAAGCAAAGCUGAAAGCCAAACUGAAAGUGACAGUGAACACAUGGCUAGCACAACAUCUGGACAGAAUACUACUGAUGUCACAAGGACACUGUACAGUGCAGGCUUGAUCUUAAAGAGGGUUCUCAGUGACUCUCCUGCUAUGACAUGCCCCUGGCCUCCCACUGCUGACAAUUUAAAUGUGUGUUAUGUAUGAGAGUCUGCAACGUAUUUGUAUGUGUAUUAAUCUAUAUUUUCAUAUUCAGAGACACUGUCGUAUUUGAAUAAAUGUUUUAUACCAUA